rnacentral:rRNA from 1 species
AUUGAACGCUGGCGGCAUGCCUUACACAUGCAAGUCGAACGGCAGCACGGGUGCUUGCACCUGGUGGCGAGUGGCGAACGGGUGAGUAAUAUAUCGGAACGUACCUUAUUGUGGGGGAUAACGCAGCGAAAGCUGUGCUAAUACCGCAUAAUCCCUAAGGGGAAAAGCGGGGGACCGUAAGGCCUCGCGCAAUUAGAGCGGCCGAUACCUGAUUAGCUAGUUGGUGAGGUAAAGGCUCACCAAGGCAACGAUCAGUAGCUGGUCUGAGAGGACAAUCAGCCACACUGGGACUGAGACACGGCCCAGACUCCUACGGGAGGCAGCAGUGGGGAAUUUUGGACAAUGGGGGCAACCCUGAUCCAGCAAUGCCGCGUGAGUGAAGAAGGCCUUCGGGUUGUAAAGCUCUUUUGUCAGGGAAGAAACAGCAGCUCUAACACAGUAUGCGAAUGACGGUACCUGAAGAAUAAGCACCGGCUAACUACGUGCCAGCAGCCGCCGUAA